rnacentral:lncRNA from 1 species
UUCCUGCCAUUGAUCAUCAGUUAAUAUAUGUGUAUCACACAUGGUUGUUUAUGAAAUAGUUAAGUAUUUUAAGCACCCAAUCAAUUUGUCUUGGAUUGUCAUCCAAAGAAUCAUAUAUUCAUUACUGAGAUUUCAGGGCUUAGAACUACAUGAUUGUGUGUCAUUUAUCCUUAAAAAGGCAUUGCCUUGAGUUGAUGUGUUUAGCUUUUUGGCUAGAUAAUGUAGCAUAAGGGAAUCUUGUAGAAAACUGAUAUUUAUUUGAGGAUCUUGUAGUGCUACAUGUUUAGAAACUCUUACCUGAGGGGGUUUCAUAAGUCUUUUUUUUUGGCUGUAUUGUUUUCACCCCUGCCUUUUUUGGUGAUAAGUAUCCUCCAUUUCUCAAAAGGCGUUUCUCGCGUAAUUGGUCAUACUUGUUAGUUAAUCUUCAAAAUUCAUCAGUAUCUCCAUCUCAGCUUGUCACAUUGUAUCCUAGCGGUCGAUCUCGUUAUUUUUAAUUUUUCAAACAAUUCGAGUUUUUUUGUUGUUGAUGACAAACAAUCAUGCAAUCCUUUGCUUGUUUAGUUUGGACCUUAGAGGCUGCAUAUAUGUCUCAGCUGCUUUCUUAGGCAGUUAGGAAUAUGGCAUUUUUCCUAUUCAAUUCACAUAAACAAGUUUAGUGUUAUGAAAGAAAGGGGUUUUGGUACUUAUUUUGAUGCCACUGUUAGUUCUUAUGAUAUAAAAGAAUGUCUUUGUUGAGCGUAAACAUCAGGUUUGGAAUCAUUUUGAAGCUUCACAAUUAGAACUGACAUUAUUGUUUGUCAUGAACCAACUAUCCCAAAAACUUAAGCUAUUGGGUGAAAACACACAAAUGGUUAUUUAUAUGUCUGAUUCAUGGGGUUCCCUUGCCGACUAACGUAAGAGCCCUUUGGUCUGGAAGCGUAGACAAUGCACAGGCCCACCCUGCUUUGUGCUGAAAAAUAACUCUUAUUUAGACCAAUGGAGGAAACAGAGAUUGAACUCUAGACCAAAUGGUCAAUGUGAUACAAACUCAGAAUUGAGAAUAAUAAAAUAGGGUGACAGAUAAAAAUAUUCAAUCAUAAAAAUAUUCAAUUUUAUUAAUCUUUAAUGAGAGGUCUAACAUAUUCUCUUCUUAAUAUAGAGGCUGUGAUGCCAUGUCGUGAAUAACAGAUAAAAAUAUUCAAUCAUUAAUCUAUUAUCCCAAAAGCUUAAAAACACUUCAAAUGUUUUUAUAUUUAACACUAUUUUCCGGCAAUUUUAUUGGAUAUGCAUCUCUGCCUAUUUGGUAUACUUAGUUGGUUCCAUGUUCAGAGAAAAGAGAAGGAUUGUGCUGUUCGGCAGUCAAUAGUCAAUAUAAAAUGUUACUUAAUCUUUAUGUUAUGGAUUAUCAAAGUUGAUCUUUUUGGAUAUGCAUGUUGUAUUGAUUCAUGUGAUGUCUGAUGCUGGAAAACGUACCCUUCACUGCUUUAAGAUAAAAUUUAGGGUUAAUAGUGUUUUAUCCGCCUGUAAUAUAUGUCAUUUCCGAUUUUCCACCCUGUAAAAAUUUUUGUUUAGUUUUCGUCCUUGUAAUUUUAAUAUUUUUUGGUUUUGGACCUUCAUCGAAAAUUUCGCCCCUUGUAAUUUGAGAAAAUUUCGGUUUAUGCCCCAAAAAUUUGAGAAAAUUUUGGUUUACCCCCUGUUAAUUCGAGAGAAUUUUGGUUUAGCCCCCUGCCAUAUCGCCGAUUUUGUACUGUCAAAAUUCAUGAAGGUCCAAAACCAGAAAUCUUCAAAUUACAAGGACGAAAACCAAACAAAAUUUUUUACAGGGUGGAAAACCGAAAAUGACCUAUAUUACAGGGGGUUAAAGCACUAUUAACCCUAAAAUUUAUUUUUGCUACUAGAACUAGAAGAUUGGGAAGUUUCAAUCAUUCAAUUUCAGAUUUAAUAUAAAUUGAAGGGGAGUUUGAAAGAGUUUAAAUAUGCAAGCUUACUGAUGUUAAUCUGUGUUUGGUUUGCAUAGGAUCCUAGACACUAGUUGUCUUAUUUUUGGGUUUGUGUAGUAGCAAAUUAAAAAGAAUAGCCUUUGGAAGUAUGAUAUGUUGCCUAAGUGCCUCUACUUUGGGAUGUGUCUGAUUUAUCAUUUUAUUUGGGUAGUAGAUUUAAAAUUUUAUCAUUGGGUCAUACUAUGAGUUUGUGACAUUGCUGACAUCCUAUUAUGUUGGUCAACUUAUUCUGGUCCAACGAUGUAUGCAACCUCUCAUAGAUAUCAGUGACAUAAAAUUGCUAUAAAAUUGAUCCUUAAAAUAGGAUCAAUUUGGUCCUGGAAGGAUGAAACUGGCAACGUUAUUAAUAAUACUAAUCAUUGAAGGACUAUUUUGAUAUCACUGCUAAAUGGAGAAGCAAUUUGAUGCAUGUAUAUUUUUGGAGAACCAAAUUAAGUGUCUUGUUUCUUUAAUGUAGGAAUUUAUUUAGCCAGCAAUUAUAUAUAUAUAUAAAAAAUUUAACCGAGUUUUUCAACAUAUCAGGGGGCAACAAUAGUUGAUUUGUCAGUUAAGAUAACUCUGGAUCCAGAUUACAAACUUCCACCUGCUGCCUUGGCAUCAUCUGUAAGCCUCAUAAAGACCCUCUAGUUAAUGUGCUCAUGGGUAUGUUUGGAUAAGUGGUAUAAUAUGGAAUAUAACGAAAUAAGAUAACAUUCAAAUUUUAAAAUCUAAUGAACUCAUUUCAUCCUAUUCGGCUAUUCCACCUUAUACCACUAUUCCAAACAUACCAUUAACUAGGAUAUUCAUUUCAUCCUAUUCAGCUAUUCCACCUUAUAUCACCAUUCCAAACAUACCAUUAACUAGGAUGUUUUUGCCUAACAAAUGUGUAAUAUUUUUCAGGCUUCUGAGGGUAAAACUCCUGGAGGUGCCGACUCUGCUUUACGGAAGGCAGAGGAUGUGGUCACCAGCAUGCUUGCGAAGGGAUUUAUCUUAGGGAAAGAUGCUGUGAACAAAGCAAAGGGUUUUGAUGAGAAGCACCAGUUGAGUUCAACAGCCUCGGCGAAAGUUACAUCUUUUGACCAAAAACUUGGGCUUAGUGAGAAAUUAACUGCUGGUGCAUCAGUUGUGAGUGGUAGAGUUAAAGAAGUGGAUCAAAAAUUUCAGGUUUCAGAAAAGACCAAAUCAGCAUUUGCAGCUGCUGAACAGAAAGUCAGUACCGCAGGGUCUGCUAUAAUGAAGAAUCGCUAUAUACUCACUGGUACUACCUGGGUAACUGGUGCUUUUAAUAAGGUUGCUAAGGCAGCUGGGGAUGUAGGACAGAAAACAAAAGAGAAAGUGGAAAAUGCAGAAGUGGAACAGAAUCGUAAAGUUGAAGACCAGUAUGCGCAGGUCCUUUCGGAGUCCCCAAAAGCAGCAGCAACAAGUGAACUGCACUCUUCCAAGCCUGCACCUGCUCAGGGUUUGAUCCUUUGAUUCACUUCUUGUACAUACCUUUUUGAAACUCCUGCAAAUUGUUUUAUUGUGAGCACAGCUUUGACAGAUUUUACUAGUUACUUGGACAAGUUUGCAGCUAUUUGAUUCACUUUUAUAAGCAAAUAGAAACUGAAUUUCCAAAGUUGGAAAUUAUAUGCUUGUUGUCUUUUCCCAUUCAGCCCAUGGAGAAAAAUAUAAGGGAAUGGAAGUUUUUUCAGUAUACAAUUUUUGUCGUUGAAAAUUUUAUUUUUACACAAGGGUGGAAAAUGAAGGAUUAUCAUGAGAUCCCGCAAAAUCAUGUCUAUAGUGAAUAUACUUUUUGUUACAAUAAAAUUUGAGUAACUUUUUUAUAAAAAAUUUAAACAAAAACUUUAAAAACUUUAUAAGUGAUAUUUUAAUAUAUAAUAAAAAUAAGUUUCCAUGGAAAAAUAUUAGAGCCAAUUGUGUGAAGGAACGUCACAUGAGGUUUACAUUGCAUAUGCUUCAAAAUCAUUCAAACCUUCAACUAUAGCUGUCAAAACGGGCCGGCCCUAGCGGGCUUUAGCGGGCCGGGCCAAAAAGCCCGGUUGACAAAACGCGCUUGAAAUAUACUACCCGAGCCCGGCCCGUAUUAAAAAUUAUAAUUUUUUAUUUUAAAAAAGUACUGUAAAACACUGCUAUAAUUUUUUUAUAAAUAAUAUUUUUAAUAUGUUUAAAUAAUGUCUAGCACAAAAGUAAAUUGUAAACAUUUUCGUACAAACGUCGUAAACUAAAACGACGAGGAAAAUGAUUUUAAAUAAAUUAGAUAUGCUAUGGUUAUAGAUAUUUAUAUAUUCGAUCUUUAAAACUAUAAAUAACGAAAUGAAUAAAUAUAAUUUUAUAUUACAUUUAUAUUUGUGUUAAUUCAUUGAAUUUUCAUUUUCAUUUUUUUACUUUGAUAAUCAACUAAGUAAAUAAUUAUUUGAAAAAUAUAUAUAAUUUAUAGAUUUUUUUUUAUGCGGGCUAACGGGCUACCCGCGGCCUAUUCGGGCUAGCCCUAACGGAUACCGGGCUUUUAAGGGCCGGGCUAAAAAGCCCUAUUAAAUUUCGGGCUCAAUAUUUUAGGCCCAAGCCCUAUAUUUAUUCGGGCUAAAUGGGCCGGCCCGUUUUGACAGCUCUACCUUCAACGAUGACCAACAUCACCAUCAUAUUGUAAAAAAAAAUAAAAAAAUCACUAUCUUCUACGUCUCCAUGAGAAAUCUUGCUUCCCGAUAUAUGUUGUUUAACAAGAUAUAUUUAUGAAAGCUACAUAUAUUGCUUAUGCGCUACCAUGAUAUUUAAUCACAAUUUCAAAAGAAAUGCAUCAAGAAUCCAAAUAUCAAAUAUUAGAUAAGUAGAAGUUCAUGGUCCUCCACGUUCUUACGACUGAGUCAAAUUGUCUAAUGUAAUUAUGGUUGAUUCAACAAAAAGAAUUGGACAUGAUGAGUUUUAGACGAAAGAUAGUGUUGUAAGAGUUUCAAAGAUUUUUAAACACAUCGUAAACAACAUACUUCUCUGUCAUCACACUAAAAUCCAAAAAUAUGCUUGUUUAAUGUUGCGAUAUAAUAUUUCAGUUUUUAUUACUUUUUUCUUCUCUUCCAGUCACAUCAACGGUUAUACAAAAUGUAUUAGACAUGUUAAAAUAUAGCCUUGAAUUUUUUAUGUUCAAAAAACGAAUAAACCAUCAAUUUAAUCCUUAAAUUAUAAUUUUUUUUAAAGGAAACCACUCAUUAUUGAAUUUAGUCUCAUAAGUAUAUAAUAUAAUAAAUUAUUGUAUAUUUUUUUUAAGAAGAAUAUAAGAAGUAAUUAUAAAGUAUAUAAACAUAUCAAUUUAGUCCAUGCUUUUAAGAUUUUAUGGACUAAGUUAACAAAUGUCAAUAUACUUUAUAGACUAAAUUGAGGAAUUUUUAUACACUUCAGAUAUUCCAUGUCUCUUGUUAUAAUACCCCCUACAAAUUUCAAUAAUAUUAAAAAAAAAUUGUUGCAUCAAUAAAUUUGUAAAAAAUGUGUAUUACAUUUACAUAAUUAACACUACAAUAAUUCAAAUAAUAUAAGAGAGAAUAAAUUUACCUUUGUCAAUUAAAAAUUAUUAUUAUUAGUUUUGUAAAUGCAUGUGAAAGUUCGAAGAAGUUUUAUAAAAGAAAAAAAAAUAUAAAAAGUGAAUUUUGUAAUAAAAAAUAGAGAAUGAAGAGAGAAGAUUGCUCUUUACACUUCAGAAAAUGCCCUCUCACACUUUAAAAUGAUUCAAAAUACUAUGGACGACAAUUAUCGUUCGGUCCUAACCUGAAUGUUAAGGAGUAAACGACAAUUAAUUAUCGGAGGUAUCGAAAGUCAUUUUCGAUGUGGGAGAGCAAUUUUAAAGUGGGAAGAAUAUGAAGAGAAUGUGAUCCUUUGAUAGUGACCAAAGUGGGCCUUAAGCCCAUAGGUUUUCUUGAAAAGAACUCAACGGUUGAGAUGAAGCCACGAAAGACAUGAAGAAAAGCAAUUUUUAAAGUGGGAAGAAUAUGAAGAGGAAAAUUGCUUUUCUGACAUAGAAUACUUUCUAUUGACACAAGUAAAUGAUCAAAUUAUCCUCAGCGGUAGUUAACUGCCUCAGGCAUAUGCGCCGAUAGUUAACUGCCGCUGGCUUUGUUGCUUUUUAUUAUAAUUUUACACGUUUCGGUAGAAAAAUCAAAAUAAAUCGAAAGUUAUUCAGAAUUCUACGACACUUUACACACACCUCUAUAAAAAUACAUAUAGAUGAUGUGAAAAGUUUCGUAACAUUUCGAAUAAGUCUCGAUUUUUUUUUUAAUUUUUUCGACCGAAACGCGCAAAAUCGCAAUUGAAAAAAUAAAAAAAAUCGAAACUUAUUCGGAAUGUUACGAAAAUUUUCACAUCAUCUAUAUGUAUUUAUAUAAAGGUGUCUAUAAAUUUUCGUAGCAUUUCUACUAAAUCUCGAUUUAUUUUUAUUUUUCGACUGAACCAUGCAAAAUCGCAAUUUUUUUCAAGUACGAGUCCGAAAAAAGUGUCCUAAAGGUUGAACUUUUUUAUGCUUUUUUGCACUCAUGUUUAGAA